GGUUGCGAUCAUACCAGCACUAAUGCACCGAAUCCAUCAGAACUCCGCAGUUAAGCGUGCUUGGGCGAGAGUAGUACUAGGAUGGGUGACCCCCUGGGAAGUCCUCGUGUUGCAACCC
rnacentral:rRNA from 1 species